UACGAAGGUCCCAAGCGUUAUCCGGAUUUAUUGGGUUUAAAGGGUGCGUAGGCGGGCUAUUAAGUCAGUGGUGAAAGCCCCAAGCUUAACUUGGGAACUGCCAUUGAUACUGAUGACCUUGAGUACAUUUGAAGUGGGCGGAAUGUGUCAUGUAGCGGUGAAAUGCUUAGAUAUGACACAGAACACCGAUUGCGUAGGCAGCUCACUAAACUGUAACUGACGCUGAGGCACGAAAGCGUGGGGAGCAAACAGG
rnacentral:rRNA from 1 species